CCCAGGCCGAUAGCGAACAAGUACUCGCAGACCGAUAGCGAACAAGUAGAGUGAUCGAAAGAUGAAAAGCACUUUGAAAAGAGAGUUAAACAGCACGUGAAAUUGUUGAAAGGGAAGCGCUUGCGACCAGACUCGCCCACGGGGUUCAGCCGGCAUUCGUGCCGGUGUACUUCCCCGCGGGCGGGCCAGCGUCGGUUUGGGCGGCCGGUCAAAGGCCCUCGGAAUGUAACGCCCCCCGGGGCGUCUUAUAGCCGAGGGUGCCAUGCGGCCACCCAGACCGAGGAACGCGUUCGGUCGG
rnacentral:rRNA from 1 species